UGGAAGGGACCAAAUAAAAUAUCAUAAACACAACACUAAAUCUGCAACACUUUCCUUGCAAAACUUUCCAUAUCUCCAGCCAUUUUCUUGAGCUCUUGAUUUCUUCAUGCUUCGAAGAAAGAAGAAAAUCUGUUUCUUAAGAUGGUGUGGCUACCAAAUCCUCAUCUAUCCUUCAAUCUUCCUUUUUGAGGCUGCUAGUUUUGGUAAAACAAACAUUGAACCAACGGCGUAUUCGGGAGUUUUAUUGGGUAAUUGUUAAGGAAUGGGAGGAGUUGGCAAGAUAAUUUUACAGAUACAGCAUGCAAUUUCAAUUUGCUCGUAUUGAAAGCUGGUGGUGGUUCCACUAAAAGUGUUUAGCUAAACAAAGGAGCUCACGGGAAGAGAAAAUGGGGGUAUAAUUAUAGCCCAAUUUAAGAAAUAUUCAAAAGGGCAUUGAAAAAUGAUUAUUGAACUCGAUGAACACAAGACAGGCGCAUACAAAUAUGAAGAAUGAUGUGAACUCGCGCGAUGAACGCACGAUGGGCUGGACAAAUGCUUUAUCAAUGUCAGAUUUCAUUCCGCGUUAAGGCAAACAUGAGUCAACUUCAACAUAAUUACACGUCUACCACAUUCCUAUUCAUGGUAAUUAAUUCUCUUUAAGAAAGUCACCUCUAGUGGUGUUGAACAACUGGCUGGCCAUCGUUUUUCUAACGCCUUAGUUAUCUUCCCCAAGCCUUUCACGUUUCUUACUUUUGCUGUGAUGUUAUGCUACUUUCAUAUAAUCUGACGGUUGAAGUAGGUCCGGUUCGGGUUCAUGUGAUCUAACCGUCGAUUUGGGUUCAAUACUUUUAAACUCUUCAUGUGGCUCAUAAAUAUUUGUUUCUCCUUUGACCCUUUUAAUGUCAAUUGAAUUCCACUUUCCUUUUCUCUCUUAAGAUACAGCUUGCAAUUUCAAUUUCAUUGUAUUGAAAGCUGGUGCUGGUUCCACUAAAAAUGUUUGGCUAAAUAAGGGAGCUCACGAGCAGAGAAAUGGCGUUUGUUUGGGGUAUAAUUAAUUAUAGCCCGAUUUAAGAAAUAUUCGAAAGGGCAUUGAAAAAUGAUUCCACCUCAGUGCGGCCUGUUCUGGUGUAGUUUUCACCUUUGGCUAAUGAAAAUAUUUGAUUGUGAACGUUCAAGAAAAAGCAAAAGCCUAUUUUAUUUUGGAUGCUUUUGUGUUUGAGAACUGAA